AAUUGCUUAUAUAUUUUUGAAAAAUUUUCAAUUUUCUAAUUUAUUCUUCUUAAAGGUUAAUAUUAAAAAUACUAUUUUUACGUUUCAAUCUAUUUUAAAUAUAUUUCUAGAGUUAAAAUCUGUUAAUGAACUCUAUUAUCUCUAUAAAAUUACUAUUUUGUCAUUUCAAAUAUACCCUUCUAUCAAUACCGAUUUUUCUUAUUUGCCCUUAAGUUAGGGAUACAAAAAGUAUUUUACUUUUUGGUCAUUUCAAAUAUACCUUUUUACCAUCACUAAUAUUUUUUAUUUGCCCUUAAGUUAAAGGCAAAAGUGACAUUUUAAUUUUUUUUUUUAACUGUGGUAAAUAUUUAACUUACGUUUAACCCAAAUUAACUUAACGGAUGAUAACUGUAGGAGUAUUUUGGAAUAACGGAUAAACAUAUGAGAGGUUUAUUGGAAAGAAAAAAAUAGAAAUAAAUAAAAUAUUAUCGAAAUUUUGUGGGACACAUAGGCAAUCAUUUCUAAAAUUA
rnacentral:lncRNA from 1 species